GUGCGAAAUCUGACAGACAUUUGGCACAUAUCUAUGAAUGUAGUGGCCAAAAAUGAAAAAGAGAAAGACUGCAGCAGCUGACAUCCGUAAUUUCUUUGGAAAGAAAAAGAAACAGAGCGAGUUUCAGCAAGAGGCAGAGAAUCAGACGGAUGUGAGUGAGAGUAGGGUGGACGCUAAGGGCUACAUACAUGAAGCCCAACCAAUCACUGCAACAUUAUCUUGUGCACAAAAGAAACAACAAGAACAAGCCAGGGAAAACCUUUUGAAGAUAGUUGGUGGCAUACAGUAUUUGGCAAGGCAGGGCAAUGCUUUCAGAGGUCAUGAGCAGAAUGAACGAAACUUUAAACAGCUACUUCAGUACAAGGCAGAGGAUGAUCCCAAGCUGGCCUCCUGGCUUUCAGGGAAACAGAAUUUUACAAGUCCAAUAAUCCAAAACAAAAUACUUCAGAUAAUAAGUAACUCUAUUAUCAAAGAAAUAGCACAGGAAGUACAACAUUUGCCUGUAGUGCAAUAUUCUUUGAUCACUGAUGGAACUCAAGAUAUUGCUGGGAUAGAGCAAAAGUGCAUACGUAUAAGGUAUGUAGGUGAAGAUCUAGAUCCUAAAGAAGAGUUUGCAGGGCUG
ensembl:lncRNA